rnacentral:rRNA from 1 species
UGGGCAAUCUGCCCUGUGGAAAGGGAUAGCCUCGGGAAACCGGGAUUAAUACCUCAUGAUAUUAUUGUUACGCAUGUAACGAUAAUCAAAGAUUCAUCGCCACAGGAUGAGCCCGCGUCCCAUUAGCUAGUUGGUGAGAUAAUAGCCCACCAAGGCGACGAUGGGUAGCCGACCUGAGAGGGUGAACCGGCCACACUGGGACUGAGACACGGCCCAGACUCCGUAGGAG